UCCAGCAUGGUGUAAUGGCUUGAGUGCUGGACUAUGACUCUGGAGACCAGGGUUCAAUUCCCAGUUCAGCCA
rnacentral:tRNA from 1 species